rnacentral:rRNA from 1 species
GUGCCAGCAGCCGCGGUAAUACGGAGGAUGCGAGCGUUAUCCGGAUUUAUUGGGUUUAAAGGGUGCGUAGGCGGGUUUUUAAGUCAGUGGUGAAAGUUUGCAGCUCAACUGUAAAAUUGCCAUUGAAACUGAAGAUCUUGAGUGCAAAUGAGGUAGGCGGAAUGUGUUGUGUAGCGGUGAAAUGCAUAGAUAUAACACAGAACUCCGAUUGCGAAGGCAGCUUACUGGGAUGCAACUGACGCUGAUGCACGAAAGCGUGGGUAUCAAACAGGAUUAGAUACCCUGGUAGUCCACGCAGUAAACGAUGAAUACUAACUGUUUGCGAUAUACAGUAAGCGGUACAGCGAAAGCGUUAAGUAUUCCACCUGGGGAGUACGUUCGCAAGAAUGAAACUCAAAGGAAUUGACGG